AUACGUAGGUGGCAAGCGUUGUCCGGAAUUAUUGGGCGUAAAGCGCGCGCAGGCGGCUUCUUAAGUCUGAUGUGAAAGCCCACGGCUCAACCGUGGAGGGUCAUUGGAAACUGGGAGGCUUGAGUGCAGAAGAGGAGAGCGGAAUUCCACGUGUAGCGGUGAAAUGCGUAGAGAUGUGGAGGAACACCAGUGGCGAAGGCGGCUCUCUGGUCUGUAACUGACGCUGAGGCGCGAAAGCGUGGGUAGCGAACAGGAUUAGAUACCCUGGUAGUCCACGCCGUAAACGAUGAGUGCUAAGUGUUAGGGGGUUUCCGCCCCUUAGUGCUGCAGCAAACGCAUUAAGCACUCCGCCUGGGGAGUACGGCCGCAAGGCUGGA
rnacentral:rRNA from 1 species